GUGAAUCUAUCCCAGGGGCGCUACACAUGGAGGCAUAAUCAGGAUUCGAAGCUGAUGAGGGAUAUUUCAUCUGCAUCAGUCAACUCCACGGUAAAACAGCUGGCAUUGCACAUGUGUUACAUGUGUAAAUUUAUAUGUAUUGUAACCUUUAUCUUCCUUUCGAAUAGAAUUGCAAUCCAGAAAUCAAUAAUCUGUGCUCCACAAAAACAGUGUGUGUGUGUGUGUGUGUGUGUGUGUGUGUCUGUGUGUGUGUCUGUGUGUAGCUGUACGUGUAUAUGCAGGUGUCUGAAUCUGCUGAAUCUAUGCCUGUGCAGUCAGCCAUUAAUGCAGUUUUAGCUCUGCUAUUGGUCGACUGUUUCUUCAUUAUGGAGGCCUUAAAUUUACUGGUGAAACCUGAAACGAAAGAGUGCCUGAUCUUAAUGGUGUUCUCCAUUCUUUCUUUGCUGUGUUCAUUUGUGGCUUUCGUCCUCAUAUUGGUAUACGCAAAACAGGAUUCGAAGCCAUUGGGGAUUUUUUCACCUGCAUUGGACAACUCCACGGUCGCAGCCCAAGUUCUGACAGGGUUGGCAAUGUCUUUUUGCCUGGUUCAAAGCAUUUUAAACAUUAUAUUGCUGUUCAUUGGACGAACCCAUGAGCUAAGGAGAUACGACUGUUUUGGCUUUGGAGUGAUUGCCUUUGUAAAUCUUAGUUUGACAGCUGCUGCAAUAUUUGUUGUACUUACAUUUUGUAAGUACAUUUGCCUUUGGCUAAUCAUCGUGAUGGCUGUUUAUCUGGUAUGCGACGUGCUGUUCUUCUUGUACCACUUAGUUGUUGGAUGUGAGAAACUGGAAAACACGAUUAAGAAGGUGGCUUCUCCGGAAUCUUGCUGGCAAGUUAGCUUUAGUAUCUCAACCCUGUUGAAUGUGGCAUUUACAUUAGCUCUCAUAAUAGGGGUAUGUUUGUGCCAGCCCUGUCUCAAAUGUUCAGAAGAUUGGGCCUCGAAGUAUUUAAUUAUUGUCACUCCCUUCUCAUAUGUGGAUGCAAGCACAUGCUAACCUUCACCCUCCUAGUGUUGGCAGCAUUGCUAGUGAUAGGGAUAGUUAAACACAAAUCUGUUUUAACUUUGUAUUUAAGUUAUUAUUUUUGGUUAGUGGGGAAACUGCAAUACUAAAAAAAUACUAUAACUCUGUUAAGAGUGUGUUCUGCUUAUUUGUGAACUGCAGGAUCUUUGUUUUGCACACGAGAGCUUUUAGCUACAAACAUCAAAGUAUGGUUAUGACAGUACCUUUAGUAAUGCAAGGAUUGCACCUCCAAAAUACAUUGACAUGCCAAAUGUAAUGGGACAGGAAUUAGUAUCUUGUCCCAUGACUUUUGCCAAGCUUAAGAACUGCGCUGACCUCUGGAAUAUGUGGGUGGAGGCUUCUGCAUUAAAUGUGGAUGUGGUUUCUGUCAGAGUUCCUUCUCUGUUCACACAAACAAUUCUAGACAGAAACCACCGGUCACAAUCAUUGCCACCCACUGCACUGUCCACUGUGGAUGGUAAUGCCUUCUAUGGUGAAUUCACUGUGCAGAAUUGUUAAACUUGUUGUUAUUCUUGUCGCUUGAGCAUGCUGUCCAGUAUUUAACCAACCUCACGAGAUAACACCUCAAAGCUUAUGCAGGUGUGGGCUUUCCUACUUUACAAUCAAUUUACACACUCCUGUGGCAUGACAAUAAAAAAACUUUAAUGCAGUGACA
ensembl:lncRNA